rnacentral:snRNA from 1 species
AUACUUACCUGGCAGGGGAGAUACCAUGAUCACGAAGGUGGUUUUCCCAGGGCGAGGCUUAUCCAUUGCACUCCGGAUGUGCUGACCCCUGCGAUUUCCCCAAAUGCGGGAAACUCGACUGCAUAAUUUGUGGUAGUGGGGGACUGCGUUCGCGCUCUCCCCUC